rnacentral:rRNA from 1 species
GAUGAACGCUAGCGGCAGGCCUAAUACACGCAAGUCGAACGAGAUUAAGAGGCUUGCUUCUUAUGAAAGUGGCGCACGGGUGCGUAACGCGUAUGCAACCUACCUUAAUCAGGGGGAUAGCCCGAAGAAAUUCAGAUUAAGACCGCAUAAAAACACAGGAUAGCAUUAUCCAAUGUUCAAAUAUUUAUAGGAUUAAGAUGGGCAUGCGUGUCAUUAGCUAGUUGGCGGGGUAACGGCCCACCAAGGCGACGAUGACUAGGGGAUCUGAGAGGAUGACCCCCCCACACUGGUACUGAGACACGGACCAGACUCCUACGUGAGGCAGCAGUAAGGAAUAUUGGUCAAUGGAGGGAACUCUGAACCAGCCAUGCCGCGUGCAGGAAGACAGCCCUCUGGGUCGUAAACUGCUUUUAUUCGGGAAUAAACCUUUCUACGUGUAGGAAGCUGAAUGUACCGAAGGAAUAAGGAUCGGCUAACUCCGUGCCAGCCGCCGCGGUAA